CGGGGCGUAGCGCAGCCUGGUAGCGCACCUGCUUUGGGAGCAGGGAGUCGGGAGUUCAAAUCUCCCCGCCCCGACCA
rnacentral:tRNA from 1 species